GGCAACAUUCUGCCAGACUUGCAGGUUGAAGUCCAGGGAGGAGUGUUUUGAUGUCACUGUUAGUGACAUCACUGACAUAGUUGGUGACAGCCCACCUGAAGCCCCCCCCCGUGUGCAAGAGAGUCGGACAUUUCACCCCCUCACAGUCCACUUCUCCACAGUGACUCCUCCAGCCCACCAUAUCACACAUCACCUCAGGAAACAACAUUUAAUGUGGGCAGUGUUUCUCACAGUCCUGCCAGCCCAGCCAGAAGUGCAUUUGGUGAGGACAACCCCUUGAGUGGACCAAGAUCAUCAUCUCAGGAAAGCCGAUGUGAUGCAAGGGCUUUUCCUGGGUGCAAGACUGUUGACAAGUUGGCGGAGUACCUUGUCAACAUAAUCCGCACAACAACAGCUUUGACAGGAGGAGAGAUGGAAGACAUUGUGCGGCUGCACUCAAGUCUUCUUGAGAUGGACAAGUCUCUCACAAAAUAUACGCUGAAAUCAAAGCGAAAGACCUUAACAGGGCUAUGGAGAGCA